AAGCCACUAAUUGGCCCGCAUGUUACACCUGUUCAGCCCAAAGCAAACGUAACAAAAGCCAUCCAUUUCUCACACCGAAAGGGUUUUAAAGUUACAGAGACGGUUUGCUAAAAGAGGAAAAACACAAAAGAACAAAGAGAGACAGAGAGAUUUCGUAAACUGCAGAAGAACAAAGAUUGAAAGAGAGAUCGAAAACAUUACAAAAGAGAGAUCGAAAACAAAUGAAGAACAGAGAUCGACAAAGAGAUAAAUUUCAGGGCAGCCAUCACCGUUAUGCAAUCGGAACCGUUACCGGUUUGUAGGUGGAAAGGCAAAUCCUUGGAAGCAAUGCAAGUCUGAUUAGAAGCGGUACUACCAGCUAUAGUUUCCACUCUAUUGGAACAAUCACUGGGACGUUAAAAGGCAGCAAGAGAGAGAAGAGCAAGAAAAAAAAAUUGCAGACACAGAAGGUUCAAGCUAUGAGAGGCUUCAGUUCAACUUUGAAGUUAACAAAGAAGACAGAAGGGUUUUUCUUGAUAUGAUAUGAA